CCACUCACAAAGUGGCUGGGGUAUGUUGAAUUCAUAUCACAGCCAGCUUUGAUGAGCGGGA
rnacentral:pre_miRNA from 2 species